UGUCAUGUGAUCAUUCUGCCAUUUUAAAAUAUCUGGGAAAACAUGGGGACCAUUUUUGAGCUCAAGUGAAAAAAUCAACUCUCAGUGAAAUGUUGGCCAUUCACAUCUCAGUUGUUUCCCCACUACAAUAUAUGACCAUGAUGCGUUAAUACAUACAUACUUUGUUCCGUUUGUCAUGUUUAACUGACAAAUAUGCAUGGUGGGGUGCACACUAAUUGGUUAGCCUGCUAACAGGAGCUCAUGCAAAGUCAAUGAGACAUACUGGCUAAAUUGGCUAGCUAGCCACAUAGAUUGUUAGCUAGCUAUAUCCAUUUACAUUUUGUUUUCUGUUUUAGAUGUGUGUAUCACUGUUUUCUGUCCAGGUAGGACACAUUUUGUAAAGAGUUGUUGCGUGUUCUAAUUUCAAGUGCUAGUUUUCAACUUAUCAAAUGUGGCCAACAGCUGCGAUUUAUAUUUAUUUAAACUGAAAGUGGAUUACUCUGGUCAAGUCACAAUACAGUACGUUCUAAACUAAUCUAGUGACAAACACAUUUUGCAUUGCACCAUUCGUCCACAUGGCUGCUGGUUGAGUUGUUCUACCACCAGAAAAAUAAAAUCGAAUCAAAUGUAGUUUUUGUAAGGACUCAAAAAACAGAGGCAGUGGGAGAACCUAUUCAAAUUGCAGCCAAGGAAGAGAGUGAAAUUGCAGCUCCAGCUGUCAGUAAAGGAUACCGGAUAGUGCAGUCCUCAGAUACGAAAUGCUGUGAAACCCUGUGUUUGCAGAUGAAGAGAGAGGUCCCAAUGAAUGUCCAAAGAGACCAAUGACGCAUUUCCAUACAGGAUUUACCCCACUGUUUCACACAGAAUGCUCAGACUUUUCUGUUUCCAUCUAUGCGGGCUGGCAUGCGUAUCUCACUGGGCCAUAUCUCCGCUGGACCUACUCUCACUAGGGGCCAAAGCCAGGCCACAAGGACUUUUCAGCUAUCAUUUACAUAACAAUGGCUAACUGUGAACUUUAACACCUUCUCUCAAUUGCAACUUAGUAUACCAGCGGUAUUUGAUCAAUUGAAUCAGGUGUGUUAUUGCUGGGCUGAAAAAGAAACAAUUGUAAUAGGUUUAUACAUUGUGUGUGAUGUAUGUUUAACAGUUUUUUGUAUACAACAUUUGCUAACAUAGGUAGGCCUACCUAUAUGCCAUGGGUUGUAUGUGUAGGCCUACAUAUGUUAGCACAUGUAUACAAAAAAACUGUUUAACAUCACACACAAUGUAUGAACCUAUUAUGAUUGGAGCAGGCCAACUCUGCUGGAGGUCUGCUGAGUGUUCUGGGAUCUGUUUCAGCCCAGCAAUAAUACACCUGAUUCAACUUUAGCUUCAGUAAUAAUUGCCUACUUUUUACCACCCAAUUAUCUAUGGUUGUUUAGACUGAGAUGCUUAAUCUUUACAUACUAGUUCUUAUUUGUACAUUUUGUAGUGAUGAUUAUUUGAAGUGAAGUGUUUAAACUGAAAGUGCCAAUGUCGAUUAAUCACAUAUCUCAAUCCUGCAAUAAAGAAGGGAAGGGUUUUGUCUCUAAU